AAUAUUGCACAAUGGAGGAAACCCUGAUGCAGCGACGCCGCGUGACCGAAGCAGGCCCUCGGGUCUUAAAGCUCUGUCCUAAGGGAAGAAACGGACGGUACCUUAGGAGGAAGCCCCGGCUACCUACGUGCCAGCAGCCGCGGUAAUACGUAGGGGGCGAGCGUUAUCCGGAAUUACUGGGCGUAAAGGGUGCGUAGGCGGCCUUUUAAGUCAGAUGUGAAAGGAUACGGCUUAACCGUAGUUAGCAUUUGAAACUAGAAGGCUUGAGUGCAGGAGAGGAGAGGUGAAUUCCUAGUGUAUCGGUGAAAUGCGUAGAUAUUAGGAGGAACACUAGUGGCGAAGGCGACUCUCUGGACUGCAACUGACGCUGAGGCACGAAAGCGUGGGGAGCAAACAGG
rnacentral:rRNA from 1 species